AGUCUUAUAUUCAAUAAUGAUAUAAAAUUGCAAAUUUUAAGGUGAAUUUUUUUUCUAAGGCUU
rnacentral:tRNA from 2 species